rnacentral:rRNA from 1 species
CAGGGGGAUAACACCUGGAAACAGGUGCUAAGACCGCAUAAGCGCACAGUCUCGCAUGGGACAGUGUGAAAAACUCCGGUGGUACAAGAUGGAUCCGCGUCUGAUUAGCCAGUUGGCGGGGUAACGGCCCACCAAAGCGACGAUCAGUAGCCGGCCUGAGAGGGUGAACGGCCACAUUGGGACUGAGACACGGCCCAAACUCCUACGGGAGACAGCAGUGGGGAAUAUUGCACAAUGGGGGAAACCCUGAUGCAGCAACGCCGCGUGAGUGAAGAAGUAAUUCGUUAUGUAAAGCUCUAUCAGCAGGGAAGAAAAUGACGGUACCUGAGUAAGCAGCCCCGGCUAACUACGUGCCAGCAGCCGCGGUAAUACGUAGGGGGCAAGCGUUAUCCGGAUUUACUGGGUGUAAAGGGAGCGUAGACGGUAAAGCAAGUCUGAAGUGAAAUGCCAGUGCUCAACACUGGAACUGCUUUGGAAACUGUUUGGCUGGAGUGCAGGAGAGGUAAGUGGAAUUCCUAGUGUAGCGGUGAAAUGCGUAGAUAUUAGGAGGAACACCAGUGGCGAAGGCGGCUUACUGGACUGUAACUGACGUUGAGGCUCGAAAGCGUGGGGAGCAAACAGGAUUAGAUACCCUGGUAGUCCACGCGGUAAACGAUGAUUACUAGGUGUCGGGGGGUUAUAACCCUUCGGUGCCGCCG